AGUGAACGCUGGCGGUAGGCCUAACACAUGCAAGUCGAACGGCAGCACAGUAAGAGCUUGCUCUUACGGGUGGCGAGUGGCGGACGGGUGAGGAAUACAUCGGAAUCUACUUUUUCGUGGGGGAUAACGUAGGGAAACUUACGCUAAUACCGCAUACGACCUACGGGUGAAAGCAGGGGAUCUUCGGACCUUGCUCGAUUGAAUGAGCCGAUGUCGGAUUAGCUAGUUGGCGGGGUAAAGGCCCACCAAGGCGACGAUCCGUAGCUGGUCUGAGAGGAUGAUCAGCCACAAUGGAACUGAGACACGGUCCAGACUCCUACGGGAGGCAGCAGUGGGGAAUAUUGGACAAUGGGCGCAAGACUGAUCCAGACAUACCGCGUGGGUGAAGAAGGCCUUCGGGUUGUAAAGCCCUUUUGUUGGGAAAGAAAAGCAGCAGGUUAAUACCCCGCUGUUCUGACGGUACCCAAAGAAUAAGCACCGGCUAACUUCGUG
rnacentral:rRNA from 1 species